GUGCUUGCUUCAGUAGCACAUAUACUAAAAUUGGAAUGAUACUGAGCAGAUUAACAUGCCCACGGUACAAGGAUGACACACAAGUCCGUGAGGCAUUCUGAAUAUAU